rnacentral:rRNA from 1 species
GUGAGGAAUAUUGGUCAAUGGGCGAAAGCCUGAACCAGCCAUGUCGCGUGAAGGAUGAAGGUCCUAUGGAUUGUAAACUUCUUUUGCAGGAGGGUAAAGUGAGCUACGUGUAGUUCAUUGCAAGUACCCUGCGAAUAAGCAUCGGCUAACUCCGUGCCAGCAGCCGCGGUAAUACGGAGGAUGCGAGCGUUAUCCGGAUUUAUUGGGUUUAAAGGGUGCGUAGGCGGACUAAUUAGUCAGCGGUGAAAUUUUGCGGCUCAACCGUAAAACUGCCGUUGAAACUGUUAGGCUUCAGUGCGGUAGAAGUAGGCGGAAUGUGUGGUGUAGCGGUGAAAUGCUUAGAUAUCACACAGAACACCGAUUGCGUAGGCAGCUUACUGGAGCGCAACUGACGCUGAGGCACGAAAGCGUGGGGAUCGAACAGGAUUAGAAACCCCGGUAGUCC